UACGAAGGGGGGCUAGCGUUGCUCGGAAUUACUGGGCGUAAAGCGAGUGUAGGCGGUUUGGUAAGUCGGAUGUGAAAGCCCCGGGCUCAACCCGGGAAGUGCACUCGAUACUGCCAAGCUAGAGUAUCGGAGAGGUUGGUGGAAUUCUCGGUGUAGAGGUGAAAUUCGUAGAUAUCGAGAGGAACACCGGUGGCGAAGGCGGCCAACUGGACGAAUACUGACGCUGAGACUCGAAAGCGUGGGGAGCAAACAGG
rnacentral:rRNA from 1 species